CACAGGAGGAAAAUGAGCUGUCACUCCAAUUCCCAGGAUGCCUUGCUGCUUAGCAUAACUCCACUCUGCGGCCCAGGGUCCACUGGUCCGUACUCUGACAGAUAAUUAAGAAAGCAGCAGCUUUUUCUAGACGGCUCUUCCUCAUGAUUUGCAUUUUAGCCAGAGGCGACCAGUUAUAAAAAAAACAUGAUGGAAAGAUGGUAAGAAGCCAAUUAGAUGGAUGGAUGGCUGACUGACAGCUCUCUGGUAUUACUACUCCAGAUUUCAUUCUAUGUAUCCUGGCAGUUUUCAACGGGAACCAACUCUGCAGGUGGAAGUUAUUCACUCAGAGGGUGGUGACGCACUGAACAGGUUGUCCAAGGAUUGCUGGAUGCCCCAUCCCUGGAGGCAUUCCAGGCCAGGCUGGAUGUGGCUCUGGGCAGCCUGGUGUGAUGGUUGGCGACCCUGCACAUAGCAGGGGGUUGGAACUGGAUGAUCACUGUGGCCCCUUUCAACCCAGGCCUUCUGUGAUUCUGUGAUUCUUCUGAGUGGAGUUAAAGAGGCCAUCAGUGAGCGUCUUACUGCUACGUAUCUGGCUUAAAAUGAACAGCUGCUCCAGAGAUCUGGAAAUACUCUCUUUAGUUUUGAAUAGGAGGAGAAACUGAAGCGGAAGCAGGUGUUUGUGGCUGUGUUGUGUGAGGAUAUACAUAUAUAUUUAUAUUCUAGGUGUCUCCAAAAAGUGAUGUGUUCUUACAGCACCCACCACAGGCAGGGCCAUCAACCUCCACAUUUCAUACCAGCCCAGGCUGCCCAGGGCCCCAUCCAACCUGGCCUUGAACACCUCCAGGGAUGGGACUGCUGCAGAAUCAUAGAACCAUUAAGACUGGAAAAUACCACCAAGAACCUCAAAUCCAGCUCCAGCCUGCCUGCACCAUGCCCCCUGAACAUGACCCUCAUUGCCACAUCUCCACACUGAUAACCACUAGGGAUGAUGACCCCACCACCUCCCCGGGUAGCCGUGCCACUGCAUCACCACUCUUUCGGUGAAGCUUUUCCUGUCCACUCCCAGACCCUUUGAUACAGUUGUAUGGUGCAUGCUGAAAGCAGAAGCACUGUGUUUUAGGCGCAAGCCCAUACAAAUAAAUAAACAUUACCACCAUGAUGCUUAACACCAGAUCACAUCUAAAAUGUACAUGUGACUUUAAAUGACUUCCAAAAUCACGUGUAGGAGCAGUGCAAGAAUGUGAUCUGAAUCCAAACAAAUUGAAUCCCAUCUGUACACCUUUCUGACAGAAACAUCCCUCCUGCAGCAUACCUGGGAAUAUGCACAAACGGCAUACAUUUCCCAUUGCAAAACUUAAAUCAAGAGAGUUAUGGUGAGAAAAACUUUGAACCUUCUCCCCAGGAUGUUCUGGAGUAUGUUCUUAUGCUGUUUUCUUCUGUGAAUAAAAUCCUACCUCUGCCCCGCAGGUAUCCUUCCUCUCUUUGUAGCUGCACAGUCACUGGGAUCAAAUUUAAAACGUGCAAAACCCCGAAUUCCUCAGAAUGUGGUGUGAAAGUGCACUUUGCUCACCGUUGUGAAAGCCAGCCGGCGAGCUUUGAGUUAUUCCCGUUAUUUCAGGAGAGGCAUAUUCCCUCUUUCUCACUAAAAGUGAGAAUACCGAGGGAAGAGAGGUGGCAGCGUGGCUAAAAUACGGAAUGAGGAAGUCACACCAACCUGUUCUGCUGCUUCGGUUGUUCAAGAGUCGGAUUUCCCGGUGUCGGAACUGCAUCACGGCAGCACUAGGUGGCAAUGUUGCUACAACGAAAACUCCCAUCGCUCCGCUCCAGCAGAGACCCCCGCCACGCUUUGCAGACAAUGCGAAGAGCUGUCGCCGCUUCGGCAGUUGCAUGGCAUCGUUUGGGUUGGCCGGGACUGCUCCGAGGUUGGCUGGUUGGUUGGCGUUUUCAUGAAGGAGCAAGUUGGAGUGAUAAAUUGGUUUUGCUUAUGGGUUUGGUCAUUCCUACUGAAUUUGCAGUGGAUCUGGGGGUUGUUGAGUAAGGCACAGAGAAAUGAGCUGCUGACAGUCAUGUGAGGAUGAGGCUCCAUCAUCUGACAAAGAUCAUGAGGACUCAAGCCUGAUCCUUAUCAUAAAAUCAUAGAAUUAUAGAAUGGCCUGGGUUGAAAAGGACCACAAUGCUCAUCUCGUUCCAACCCUCUGCUAUGUGCAGGGUUGCCAACCAGCAGACCAGGCUGCCCAGAGCCAUAUCCAGCCUGGCCUUGAAAUAAUAAUAUCACUCAUGAGACCAUGGAAAGAAUAUAACUUGUACCUUCCCUCGUGUGCUAAUUCCAGUGAAAUCAAAGCCAAAAUUGUGGGGUAUAAAGUUUAGGGUGUGGGCAGCUUUUUCCAAGAUUAGUGCAUCUGAAGAAGAGUGAGCCAAUGGAAGCACGGAACAGCUAGCAGUUCAAUCUGUGUUUAAUCAACUACAGAGAAACAGCGUUCAUCAGGUCAUGAUGCUGAGGGGGCUCUGAACACUCCGAGUAUUUAUUUUAAUCCUCCUUAAUACCCACCAUUUGCAGUUAUAGUAAACUGCAAACUGCAGCUCUGGUUACCAAUAGGAUAAGCGACACUUCUGGUCUGAGUUUACCUCAUCGCUCAAGGGAUCAUCAUGAAAAUUCAGAUUUUAAUUCCAUUCUAAAGAAAAUGUUGCAUCCUGCUGACAGUAGCUGUGAUGGAUGAGAGUAAGAAUGGCCAAAGUGCAGAAAAAUCUUCUACCCUUUGCCAGGGAAGGGGAGUGGGCUGCACAUCCUGCAUUUCUACUGCAAAGGAUGCUCCAAAAGUAAUGCCUUCUAUUUUAUUGUCUUGGGCCACGACGUCAGAGGCAGAUGUCGGUGGGAUGACAGUAGAUACUGAGUCUUCCCACCAAUGUCCUGCUACAUUUUGUUCUGUGUGACAGACAACAGCAGAAAGACAGUCUGAAAGUACGGCAUCUGACAUGGAAAUGGGUAUGGAGCAAAGGUGUGUAAUUGAAUUCUUCCUUGAAGAAAAAGCAGCACCUACUGACAUUCAUUGAUGCUUACCGAAUGUUUAUGGAGACCAAACAGUGGGUUUGAGCACAACAAGGGGUGGGUUUUGUAUUUCUGCAGUGGUGAUAAUGACAUGAAAUACAAACCAUGUUCUAGACAGCCAUGCACAGCUGUCAGACCAUGAACUGAAGACAGUCUCAAUCAGCUCAUCCACACAUUCUGCUAAUGGUGAUGAUUGUUUUUUGUAGCUGAGAAUUCACUCUAUUCAAUAGUGUUAUUUUGUUCUUUGUAUGCAUUGUACCUUCCAUGGAAAUAUAUGCAUUACUUCUAGAGCGACCUAUGUAGUUUAUGAACAGUUGGAUUCUCAUAAUGGAUACUCAGAGGGUGGUGACACAUUGGAACAGGUUGCUCAAGGAGGUUGUGGAUGCCCCAUCCCUGCAGGCAUUCAAGGCCAGGCUGGAUGUGGCUCUGGGCAGCCUGGUCUGCUGGUUGGUGAUGCUGCACAUAGCAGGGGGGUUAAAACUCGAUGAUCAUUGUGGUCAUUUUCAACCCAGGCCAUUCUAUGAUUCUAUGAUUACAUGAUUAUAUGAUACUAAAUUAAUUGGUGGUGAAUUGCACCAGAGUUAUACAGGGGUCAGCAUCAAACCUUGUGCAGCUUCUCAGUGAUGACCAGUGAAAUUCUUACAUGAUGCUCAUAAGGAUCCAAAGAGGCAUCAGUGGUAGAACGAAGGGUCUAAGCAAUCCAUUAUUCCUGUCUUGUUGGUUGUGAGCAAUAUUGAGUCAGAUUUUCUUAUUCUGUUAGCUUUAGUUAUCAGUUAAGUAAAUGCUGUUUUUCUUUACCUCUUACAUGAAGAUCACCUGCCAGAUCAGUUUCUAUAAUCUCAUAGCAUGUUUUCUCAGAGUAGUGAUUACAUAUAUAUGUAUAAUUAAUUUUGUAAUGAAUUGUAUUAUGUUGUAAAAUAUUGUAUUUUAUCCUUCCGGAGCAACAGGAGAAAUUACAGGCCUUGUUCGAGGUGUGUUCAAAGGAGAAUUUAGAAUUACUCUUUGGAUUUCUUUCGAGUGGUGAGAAAGGAAUUCAUCUUUAUUAUUACUUUGGAGUCUCUUCGAUUUUCUAUAUAAGUCAAAAGUAAUAAAAUGGAUGAACAUAUCAGAGUUUUGUAUAAGUAUGUGCACCCAAGCAUUUGAGGUUGUUUAAUGGACUUACUCUUCAAACAGUAAAUGCAGAGCUUCUUGAAGAUUUUCAGUGGAAAAAAGUGAGUAAGGCUUUGAAUCAGUUUUCCUUUGUAAGUCUCUCAUUUAUGUAGGCUAUUUUAAAAUGAACAUGUUAUUGGACUUCUCUAUAAGGGUGGAAUUUGAGCUAAUUUAGGUGGAUAUUUUUCUUUAUUUUGAAACAAUCUUUUUAAUGAAUAUUGAUCUCACAACUGGUAUUGUAUUUGCAUAUUUCUACAGUGAGCAAGGCUGUGACUUCUCUAAGUCAAAUUUUCUUGUUUGGUGGGAUAAAUCCAUGAUCUAUUGCCUAGAAAAGAGAAUGUGUCUGGCAGUGGGCAGAGCUGAGAAGCCUGCAUUGGGAAUGGCUCAAAUAGCCUAUAAAAAUGCUGUCUUAAUGUUGGAAUAAUCUCAGUGCUGGAUCAAAUUCUUAAAGUUUCACUGUCCCUUGUAGAAAAUAUUAUUGAGAGUAAUACUGAAAAACAGAAGAACAAGAAGAAUAAAGCCCUGCUAGAGUUUACUGUCUGAAGAGUUUCACUUCCCUUUUUUAUAAUGCCAUUUAGUACUGUGAAAAUAGACAAUUCAGUUUCUCACCUUGAGCCAUACAUUUAGAUUGGAAGGGGAAAAAAGGAUGAAACAAGGGAUUUUUGGUGUUUUCUAGCCGUAUGAAC
ensembl:lncRNA